CAGUCCGCGGUAAUACGAAGGGUGCAAGCGUUAAUCGGAAUUACUGGGCGUAAAGCGUGCGUAGGCGGUUUGUUAAGUCUGCUGUGAAAUCCCCGGGCUCAACCUGGGAAUGGCAGUGGAUACUGGCAAGCUAGAGUGUGUCAGAGGAUGGUGGAAUUCCCGGUGUAGCGGUGAAAUGCGUAGAGAUCGGGAGGAACAUCAGUGGCGAAGGCGGCCAUCUGGGACAACACUGACGCUGAGGCACGAAAGCGUGGGGAGCAAACAGGAUUAGAUACCCGAGUAGUCCCUGUCUCUUAUACAC
rnacentral:rRNA from 1 species